rnacentral:rRNA from 1 species
GACGAACGCUGGCGGCGUGCUUAACGCAUGCAAGUCGAGCGGAAAGGCCCUUCGGGGUACUCGAGCGGCGAACGGGUGAGUAACACGUGAGUAACCUGCCCCAGACUUUGGGAUAACCCUCGGAAACGGGGGCUAAUACCGGAUACGACACAGCUUCGCAUGGGGUCUGUGUGGAAAGUUUUUCGGUUUGGGAUGGGCUCGCGGCCUAUCAGCUUGUUGGUGGGGUGAUGGCCUACCAAGGCGACGACGGGUAGCCGGCCUGAGAGGGCGACCGGCCACACUGGGACUGAGACACGGCCCAGACUCCUACGGGAGGCAGCAGUGGGGAAUAUUGCACAAUGGGCGGAAGCCUGAUGCAGCGACGCCGCGUGAGGGAUGACGGCCUUCGGGUUGUAAACCUCUUUCAGCAGGGACGAAGCGUAAGUGACGGUACCUGCAGAAGAAGCGCCGGCCAACUACGUG